AUCUCAUUCCAGUGUGAACUGAAUGUAACUCCAGAUGCCUUGAGAGCCAUCGCCAGGUUGGCUUUGGAAAGGAAGACCGGUGCUCGUGGGCUAAGGUCCAUUAUGGAAAAAUUGCUUCUUGAACCCAUGUUUGAAGUGCCACACUCAGACAUCAUGGCUGUUGAGCUGAACGAAGACGUGGUCCAAGGGAAAUCAGUGCCUGUGUAUGUAAAAGCACCUGCUAAGGAGUCUGAGGAGGAGUAUGACUCUGGGAUAGAGGAGGAGAGCUGGCCAAGGCAGGCGGAUGCAGCCAACAACUAACUAACAGUCCAAAAUGGAACUUCAGAAAUUGCCAUUUCGAUUUAAUAAGCUAUGGCAUUUUACAAGUACCAUUAUUGUAACUUCAAAUGUAAUUAUGUCAUCUGAAUUACAUCAGUGUUGAUCAUGAUGAUGUAGGUUAUGCAAUUUCAUACAUCGGAAAAAGUUUGUUCCCAAAUUGUUGCAAAGGUUUAAGAAUUAACAUUAACCAAGUAUUCUCUAGCCAUCUUUCACAGAGAGAGAAAAGGAGAGAGAACUUUAUCCUGUUUAAAUGUAAAGAUACUUUAACUUUUUCUCAUAAAGUAGCUAGUGUCUCUUUGUGAUAAGUACUUGUUUGGGAAACCUUAAUGGAAAUGGAUUGUAUCAAGUCCAAAAUCUAUUUUCUCUUAUUUCGUUUUGACACCAUUUUAUUUUUGACAGUCAAGGAUUAAGGUAAAUACAGGAUACUUGUUUUAACCACCAUGUCUUUCUGAUGUCAUUAAGGAAGCCAUUUUGUUUCUUCACAACUCUCUGACGAGGUCAGCCAGGUCAUAGAAACCAGCGUUCUUUACAGAACAAGUAUUUAUAGGCAAAUUGUUAACCUUUUCAAAAAAGAUCAGUUUGGCUGCUCUGUGGUGGAUUUCAAAUAUCCAACACUGGAAUUACUAGUAUACUGUAUGUACAGUUAGUAUGCCAUGUAUGAGAUGAAACGUGUAAGAUAUCUGGGGUCGCGAUAGGGGGGGUGACUUAAAUUGAUCCCAAUCAGCUUUGAUAAUGUCAGAUUUUCAACACAUUUUCCCAUUGUGGUUGUUUUUGAUGUUUCUUUAUGGAACCGUUUAGAACUUCCUACACAUUUAAUGAAGCCAUGACAUCACUGGUGUUUUUAAAUGAAAACAUACCAGUCUUUAGAAAUGCAUUGUCUGAUUUGCUCAACACUAUACACUGAGAAACUGUUCAUUCAAUGCAGUUUCUUUAAAAGAAGCUGGGCUUUUUUGUACACUUUAUAUACAGAUAUAACAUUUUGAAAGGGCCUAGAAUCUAGAUAAUUUGCUCAAUUCCACUUUGGCCCUUAGACCCUAACCCCUAGGCACCUGUGUAGAUCUCAGAAGAUUUGAUAGGUGUUAGCAAUAUGGUAACAGUUUAGUCUUUCUCUUAUGGGUUUCUGUGAUGUUGGUUACACCCAUCCAAACCUUUUAAAUCUACACAGGGACUUUAUCCUGGAGCUUAUGUUGCAUUGUUAACCGAGUGGGAAGGUGGUAAUUACCAGCUGUGAAGUCGUAAAUAUCAGUUGGAUGCAUUCACAUGCUUUGAACUCAUUGAGAAACGCUGAUUGGCUAAUGGCAAACAAGCUGCGUCAAUCAUAAACUAAAAGUACAGCUAACAUGCUUGUAAACAUAUGUAUUCAAAAACAUUAAUAGAUAGCUUUUUAUAAAUAAUGUUUUACUGCAUGUAACUGCCUAAAAUGCUGUUAUCGGGGUAAUUUCUUUAGUGGGUGACAUCAGAGGUCAACAUGUGGGAGAAGUUGGCGCUCAGGGAUGAUAUAUGAGUUUCCCACUAGUAAUUACCAGUUGGAGGGGCGUUCAAGUAGGUUUUGUAUGUGGUAAAUAACACCUUCCCACUUGGUUAUGAACACAGCAUAAGGUCUUGAUUUAGAGUUGGGCAAUUGUGUGAUGUACAGUCCAUCAGAACUGAUGCCAUCUGUGUGGCAGCAACCCUAUUUUGCUCUGAAUAGUUGUGAACCUAUGUAAAUGUGAGACUUUAAUAAAUAUAUUAAUCACUUAA